rnacentral:rRNA from 1 species
GAGGAAUAUUGCUCAAUGGGCGCGAGCCUGAACCAGCCAAGUAGCUUGAAGGAUGAAUGCACUAUGGGUUGUAACCUUCUUUUAUAAGUGAAUAAAGUGAGGCACGUGUGCCUUAUUGUAUGUACAUUAUGAAUAUUCAUCCGCUAACUUCGUGCCAGCAGCCGCGGUAAUACGGAGGAUGCAAGCGUUAUCCGGAUUUAUUGGUUUUAAAGGGAGCGUAGGCGGACUAUUAAGUCAGCUGUGAAAGUUUACGGCUCAACCGUGAAAUUGCAGUUGAAACUGGUCGUCUUGAGUGCAGUAAAGGUGGGCGGAAUUCGUGGUGUAGCGGUGAAAUGCUUAGAUAUCACGAAGAACUCCAAUUGCGAAGGCAGCUCACUGGAGUGUAACUGACGCUGAUGCUCGAAAGUGUGGGUAUCAAACA